GUGAAUCAUCGAAUCUUUGAAAGAAAAGGGAGAAGGGGGGGGAAGGCAUGUCUGUUUGAGGGCAACAUUUAACAAAUAAUGGGCAGCGUUAUUUGUUGCACACGUUGAUGAGCUUUCCAAGAAUUUUAAAUUUUUGGUGGCGCAUAAUGAACAGCGUGAAAGUUUUUUUCAGUUCGAGUGUAGUAAAAUCUUUGCUUGGGUUGUGAAAAAACAUAAUCGCGAAAUGGGGGUGGGAAUUUCGGGUUAUCCAUGCCCCACUGCCAAGA
rnacentral:misc_RNA from 1 species